UGGGGAAUAUUGCACAAUGGGUGCAAGCCUGAUGCAGCCAUGCCGCGUGUAUGAAGAAGGCCUUCGGGUUGUAAAGUACUUUCAGCGGGGAGGAAGGGAGUAAAGUUAAUACCUUUGCUCAUUGACGUUACCCGCAGAAGAAGCACCGGCUAACUCCGUGCCAGCAGCCGUGGUAAUACGGAGGGUGCAAGCGUUAAUCGGAAUUACUGGGCGUAAAGCGCACGCAGGCGGUUUGUUAAGUCAGAUGUGAAAUCCCCGGGCUCAACCUGGGAACUGCAUCUGAUACUGGCAAGCUUGAGUCUCGUAGAGGGGGGUAGAAUUCCAGGUGUAGCGGUGAAAUGCGUAGAGAUCUGGAGGAAUACCGGUGGCGAAGGCGGCCCCCUGGACGAAGACUGACGCUCAGGUGCGAAAGCGUGGGGAGCAAACAGG
rnacentral:rRNA from 1 species